ACGAACGCUGGCGGCGUGCUUAACACAUGCAAGUCGAACGGUAAGGCCCUUUCGGGGGUACACGAGUGGCGAACGGGUGAGUAACACGUGGGUAAUCUGCCCUGCACUUCGGGAUAAGCCUGGGGAACCGGGUCUAAUACCGGAUAUGAGCUCCUGCCGCAUGGUGGGGGUUGGAAAGUUUUUCGGUGCAGGAUGAGUCCGCGGCCUAUCAGCUUGUUGGUGGGGUAAUGGCCUACCAAGGCGACGACGGGUAGCCG
rnacentral:rRNA from 1 species